AUUCCAAAGGGUUCACAUGCUUUUUCUUACCACUGUAUUUCAGUUCAACAAAGGCUUUCUGCAGGGCAAAAAAAGGCAGAUUGAAGCUCUGACAGAGGCUGGUCAGCUGUGGGGCAAUAGCAAACACAACAGUGUCAUCUUCAUACAGGUGAAAGUUUUUUUUACAGAUAAACCAAUAUUGUUCAUGUAAAUAGUGUAAAGAACCAGACCAAAAAUCGAUCCUUUGUUAUGUCCAGAAAACAUGAUUAAACACCAUCAUUAAAUACACGCUGUUGUCACGACUGUCCUUGUGUGAUCCAAAUGGGCAGAUCAGGUUUGUAAUUAAUAAACUUCCACCAGACCCUCUCUCACCCGCAGAGUGGAGGAGGGAACUGGUGUGGGUGGGUUUUGACACCUCACGCCCUGUCGUAAAUUAAGGUAGAAGAAGACUCUCUUCCUCCCUCUUUAAAUGCGCAUAGGAAUGUAUCUUUGUUCCACAGACAGUUUUCCCGACGAAACUCUAACACGUUCAAAAGCGAAUACUGGAUCAAUACUUCUAACAUAAGAAUGUGGGGAAGGGUCAGAGAUGAUCUAUAUAAAACUAAUGUCAUAUUGGUUUUUAUUUUGUGAUGUCAUUUUGUGAUGUCCUUCUGCUCCUUAACAACAUCACCGAGAUCAGAGCAGAUGCGUACAACAUUUUUAAACUCUUCCAGAAACCCUUCUCAGCCCGUGUGCAACAUGGGAGUGUGGCAGGUCAGGUGGUAUUAAGCUAAGGAAUUUGAAAAUGUGAACAGAAAGGGAAUUUUACUGCAAAUGAUCUAUGUAGAUAAAUCUGGUAAAUAAAUAGAUGUGCGCAAUGUGUAGUGGUUAAUGUUAUUGUCUAAUCAGUGCCCAUCUAUGUCACUAUGCACGUUUCUGUAUUUGCUCCUGUGCUUGUAUGUCCCUGUAACCAUAUUAUUGUAUGCCUGUGUAUGUUUCAGACAGCGUUUGAGGUUCUGGGCUUUGUCUCAGUCAUGUCUAACUGCUGGCUGCUGCCUCCUCGGGUUCGGCUGUUCUGUCUGGAGGGAUGGAUCAGCGGCAAGAACAUCAUACUCUUCACCAUCCUGGUCAAGAAACUUUGAAGGCUGUGGAACCCCCGAGGGUGUUUGUGUUUCCCUUCCAGUGUUGGUCUGGAGACUCUGGACCUGGGGGCUCAUUAGAACCAGCUGCCACGACGAAGAUGGUGAUGAUCCACAGACAAGUCUGGGAGCUGAGCCAUGAGAACCUGCUCUCCGCCCCAAGAAACUCUGUCAGUAUCUCCCUCUGGAGCACUGCUUCAGUCAUAACUAGAGUGGUCUCUCAUGUCAUGGGAGAUACUAGAGAGAAGGCCAGGGACUAAAGGGAAACACAAAGAAGAAGAGCUAAGUUCAUUGGGUUAAUACAGCAUUAGCAUACUUUUUUUUUCUUCAUCUUGCUUAUCAUUUUGUAAAAUGUUCCCACAGUGUGUUCCAUGUAAUUUCACAUUAUCAGUGUUACAUUGUACGCUUAACUUAUAAUAGGCACAUCACAAAUACAACGAGAGUACUUGAUAUCACAUAAUAUAUCUGUGCACUUCUACUUGAAGUUUACUAUAUUUAAAACAUUUGGAUUGAUGAGCUUGUUGUUGGAAUACAUGUAGGCCUAUCUAUUACAUAUGUAUUAUCAGUAUCUUUUAAAAAUGAAGAUUUCAGAACUGAUGCAGUGUUGGAUGAAUGUAGAUAGCAAGGCUGAUGGUUGUACUUGAUUUAGUAUAGUUUACUUUGCCAUCAAAAUCAUUUGUACAGUAUGCUCUAGUCAAAAUGUACUGAAAUUCACUUGGACUUUCAUCUGACCUGCUAAAAAAAGACAAUGUUCCAUGACCGUUUCAGAGGAGUAAUAAUACAUUGCUUUAUCCUUCCUAUAGUACAUAUACCCCAUUAAAUCACAUCACACACCA